rnacentral:rRNA from 1 species
CAGUAGCCGCGGGAAUACGAAGGGGGCUAGCGUUGUUCGGAUUUACUGGGCGUAAAGGGCGCGUAGGCGGACUGAUAAGUCAGAGGUGAAAUCCCAAGGCUCAACCUUGGAACUGCCUUUGAUACUGUUUGUCUUGAGUUCGAGAGAGGUAAGUGGAACUGCGAGUGUAGAGGUGAAAUUCGUAGAUAUUCGCAAGAACACCAGUGGCGAAGGCGGCUUACUGGCUCGAAACUGACGCUGAGGCGCGAAAGCGUGGGGAGCAAACAGGAUUAGAUACCCCUGUAGUCCCUGUCUCUUAUAC